CAGCUCUCCGAGUGGUGUGGAUGUUUAUUGGGCCUAAAGCAUCCGUAGCUUGCUGAAUGAGUCCUCUGUUAAACCCAACGAAUUAAUCGUUGGAGUGCGGGGGAUACUGUUCGGCUUGGGGGCGAGAGAGGCAGACGGUAUUUCCGGGGUAGGAGUGAAAUCCUAUAAUCCCGGGAAGACCACCAGUGGCGAAGGCUGUCUGCUAGAACGCGCCCGACGGUGAGGGAUGAAAGCUGGGGGAGCGAACCGGAUUAGAUACCCGAGUAGUCC
rnacentral:rRNA from 1 species